AAUGUCUACUACAUGAAAAGCUAUUCAACAUGUGAAAGAACUAUUUUGGAGUAUAAGUCAAUAAAGUUACUAUAUGCCAUUGUUGUAUUAUGUGUAUUCUUGCUUGAGAAUGCACCAAGCACCUAGUUGUGGAAAGUAAGUAGAAAUGUAACAACAAUCCUACCAAGUCUAAUAGAGUCUUAAAUAAACUUUAAAUAAUCCUUAAUAAUCCUAAUAAAACUUUAAUCAAUCCAAAAUAAAUUUAAAAGAAGUUACAAAAGAAACUUAAAGAAGUCAUAAAUUAAUCUCAAAAUAAAAUUAUAAAGAAAUCUUAAAAAA
rnacentral:lncRNA from 1 species